rnacentral:lncRNA from 1 species
UAUUUGUGUGCUAUAGCCGGUUAAUGAAAGACAUCCUCAUGUAGGCCAGUUCCAACUUUGCAACAAGCAUCGUAUUCAGUACUGAAAUAAUUCAUAU